rnacentral:misc_RNA from 1 species
AGCAGCCGCGGUAAUUCCAGCUCCAAUAGCGUAUAUUAAAGUUGUUGCAGUUAAAAAGCUCGUAGUUGAAUUUCGGGAUUGGCGCAUCGGUCGUGCCUCACGGGGUAUGAACUGGUGCAGUCAAUUUCUCACCUUCUGGAGAACCGCGAUGUCCUUAAUUGGAUGCCGCGGGGAACCAGGACCUUUACUUUGAAAAAAUUAGAGUGUUUAAAGCAGGCAUUUUUGCUUGAAUACAUUAGCAUGGAAUAAUAAAAUAGGACGGCAUGGUUCUAUUUUGUUGGUUUCUAGGACCACCGUAAUGAUUAAUAGGGAUAGUUGGGGGCAUUAGUAUUCAAUUGUCAGAGGUGAAAUUCUUGGAUUUAUUGAAGACUAACUACUGCGAAAGCAUUUGCCAAGGAUGUUUUCAUUAAUCAAGAACGAAAGUUAGGGGAUCGAAGACGAUCAGAUACCGUCGUAGUCUUAACCAUAAACUAUGCCGACUAGGAAUCAGACGAUGUUAAUUUUUUU